UGGAGUUAAUUUUCUUUGUAGCAGCUCAGUGGUGUUAUGUUUUGGAUUUGUGACCAGGACAGUGUUGAUAACACAAUGUUGUUUUAGCUGGUGUUGAACAGUGUCCCAGCAUUCUUGCUCCUCAUGUUGUCCUGGCAGGGAGGAGGCUGAGAGUGUGAAAGCUGGGAUGGGACACAGCCAGGACAGCUGACCCCACUGACCAAAGAGAGAUUCCAUACUAUACCACAUCAAGCUCAGCAGUAAAAGCUCAGGUAAAGAAGAAGAAAGGAGGGGUGUUCAGAGUUACAGCACUUGUCUUCCCAACAAACCAUUAUGCAUGGCAAAUUCAUGCUUUCCUGGAAAUGUCUGAAUGGCUGCCUACUGAUGGGAAGUUCUGAAUCAGUUCCUUACUUAGCUUUGAUUGUGCAUGCUGCUUUGCUUAUUAAAUAAGCUUUUUGUUUAUUAUGAGUAAAGAAAUUUAGUAAACUGUCUGUAUCUCUACCCAUAAAGCUUCUUGCUGUUGUCCUUCUGAUUCUCUUCCAGAUCCAGCUGGAGUGAGUAAGUGGCUGUGUGGUGCUUGCCUGCUUACUGCAGUUAACCCUCGACAGACACAGGAAGACCCCUCACCUCUGUUUUCAAUUUGUUCACCUUUAAACUUGACACACUUACCAGGUGAUCCCACCAGUUAUUGUUGACUGGUCAGGCAGAAUGUACUUCCUGUCUUCUAAGUAGCAAGGACAAUGAGAUUUACGAACACACUCACUCUUGUGGUUCAGCUUCAAUGCUUAAAGCUUCCCAUUGCUUCUCUUCCUGUGGAUGUGGAGCUCUAGCAAAACAUAUUGCAGACCAAGGCUUAACACCAAACUAUGCAGGUGUUUGGAGGUUUCAUGCAGACUGCAGGAAAUUACCUUCAUAAGAACAUAAGUGCAAACCCCAUGGAAUCUAUAUGGCCUUGAAUCAAACGUGGUAACAAAGGAGCCUCCUUCCAGUGAACACCUUCCAGGGCAGGGCAAGUCUUUGCAGUUCCACUGACCCAUCACACAUUUACUGCAGAAACCAAAAAAUUCUGUGUAAGGUUAUUCUUUUCUUCACGCUCUAAAAACUCAGCUACUUCCUAGUAAUGGAAUAUGUCAUUUUUUUCACUUCUCUCUUAUGCUUUCUAUGCUUUGAUUUUCUUUGUCUAUGUAUAUCAGUUGAAGUCGCUCAUCUUAAUUCCAAGUUGCAGAACUCUUGUAUGGAUUGUCAGUAAACUUUCCUGAAUCGUGAAAGGUGCUGCCCUUCAAAAGGUUAGGCAGAAUUUUCCAAUUUUUUGGUGAAGGUACUCUUCAUUCUCUCAUGGAAGUACCUGUUGGUACUCACCAAGUCCUACAAGCUGCUUUCAUUGUCUCACCAGGAGCAUAUGUUUUCCCAUUCAGUGUACAUGGACACUGGCUAAUGUGAACACAUGUCCGAUUCUUUGAGAUGUCAUCAAGAACAGUUCCUGCCAAAGAAGAUAAACAAAAUAUUUUUCCUCAUCCUCACUUAGCACUACAGUUAUUAUGGCUUGAAUGCUUUCUGAAAUUAGCUUGAGAAUGCUAUUCUUGCAUAGCCAGUGCCCAUACUUGGAGAUGUAACAUGCAGGAAAUUUUCUCCUAAUUAAAUAAAACUGAGUCUUCACAAGUGACAAAGGCUUUUGGCUACUUUGUCAUAUGAAAGUGCAGCCAAUUGUCCUAUUUUGACAUGCAAAUGAUUGUAAUAAUCACAAUUUCUGUAGCAAGUUCAUCUUGAACUAUUUUAAAGGCAAUUUACAAAAUGCCCAUAAUAUUGCAGAAAUCCUCUGAGGGAGGCAUGCUACCUCUUCCUGGUGCCUGAUCAAUGUAUAUUUUAAUGAAGAACUUUAAGCAGAUGGCAUAUCAUUAUCCCAUCACAAAUCAUGGUCUUGUGAGGAAAAUGUUUUCAUAGCUCUGUUCUUGCAAAGAGUGACCAACCAUCUUUGGAGGACCGUGAUUACUCAAGACUCCAGUUACAUUAUGUUACCUGAGAAAGCAGUACAAUGCCUUGAAAUGCACAGCUAGUUCAUUAUUAAGCAGUCUAUUCCACUUGACUGGAUAUGUGCAAAAAACAUUCGUGUGAUCCAUUAAGAAUAUGAUGAAAUGAUACCUUCUGGACAAAAGCAGCCAUAGGUACAGUGACUGGAACAGCUGUACUCUGGGUUGGAACAGGUUUUAAUACAUGGAGAACCACAUUCCUCAUAGAUUAGGUUCGCAGAACAUUUUCCCACAGCUGCAACAAACAGUGGGAGUGUUAAGAUUUUUAAAGUGUAAACAGAGAAGAAUGUUUCAUCUGCUACCUAGCAAGGAAAAGACCUUCUGAUUUCUGACACUAACAUUCUUUUACCCUGCCUCAAUACUCAUUUCAUCAUCUGAGUAUUCACAGUUACCAUCAUAUUCACUCUGGCUUUUUUUCAUUUUUCAUGCUGUACUUAGUGGAAACAUUUUUCAGAAGCUUGAAGAAUGGCAAACAGGCCAUACUGCAGCCUAAUGAAGUACCACAAAUCAUAUUUUCUGUAGUACUUCAAGGUUUUACUUCUAAUCAGUCAUUGUAAAUAAAAAGGCCGAGCAUCUGAAAAAGGACUACUGAAAAUCAUCUGUGAAUAAAAGGAGCGAUGGCAAUUAUUAGCAAAAAGGUUCAAAGACCUCAGGGGCUCUUUAAAAGUGCUCUCUCUUCACUUGAUAAUUUGCUAGAUACAAUAAUAAGAAAACUGUGCUAUGAGCAAACAGCCUCCUGCUAGAAGUGUGAAAAAUUAAAAGUUUUCACUUGGUGGAUGUUUCUGUUUUAUUGUCAUUGAUCUAGACAUAGGACCUAUGUUUUGAGCUUUCUUCUCCUUUGAGGUUUCCCUGCUCUCCUUCUUACAACUUUACCAAAGACCACUGUUCUCUGUAGAAAAUUGUUUGAUUAAAGACAGUAGGAACUUCUUUUUA